GACAACAUGGCGUACUCACGGAGAAACCCAUUUGCCGUGUGAAGGAGGGCUAUAAAACGCCACUCGUCUGGUCGCCUGUGGUCAGUUAAGGAUUUCCUCCAGGCGACCAGGUUACGAAAGCUGCUUCUUUCCUGUUUUCGAUCGCGACUAACAUAGGUAUGAGUGAUCGGAUGGGAAUUUAAGCAUUUGGGAUGGAAGCCUUUGUCGGUAACGUGGGAGACCUGUUUCUGAAUCUCCUGACUUAUUUGAUUUUCCUUUCUAGCAGGGUGGGUAACCUGUGUGCCUCUACAUGUUACUGAACUACAAGUCCCAUGACUCUUGGCUGUUGUGGCAGGGGCUGAUGGGAACUGUAGUUCAGCAACGCAUGGGGAGGCACCGUUACCCAUCCCAGGUUUAACCUAACUGCACCUGGAUUUUCUUUUCCAUGGGGCCAACACUAACUGGGUUUGUGUGAGUUGAUUUUAGAUUUGGGGGGAAUGACGUAGGGGAAAGAAUGAUAAACUCUUCCCACAAAACUGAAACCCCUCUCAUCUCUGUAUUAGACAUCUUAGAUUCAGGCUGCACAUGACCUAGAAUAAAGAUGUAGAAUUCUGGACUGAACCAAUUCAGAGUGCAGGGGUGCAGGUGUGUGAAGUAGUACAGCGGUACCUCUGGUUAUGAACACUUCAGGUUACAAGCUCUGCUAAUCCGGAAGUAGCUGCUCCUGGUUGCAAACAUUGCCCCAGGAUGCGAAUGGAAAUCGUGCACCAGAGGCGCGCGCACAUCGGGAGGCCCCAUUAGUGAAAGCAUGCCUCAAGAUAAGAAUGGUUUCAGCUUAAGAACAGACCUCCAGAACGAAUUAAGUUCAGAGGUACCACUGUAUGUACUUUUGAAAGUUUCCCUGCGAAACAAAACCACAAUAAGCCCUCUGCAUAGAGCAAACCAAUACCUAAGAGCGAGGUUUAAAUUCUUUCUUACCCUGAUGUGCUGGUUUAUUUCAUCUGUGUGCUAUUCUCCCCCAACAAAGGUGCCCGCCUCCCCCCCCCGGGGGGCCAGCUGAAGUGGUACAUUCCAGGAUUUUACUACCUUAUUCUGUCCUUAAAGUGUAGAUUGGCUGUUAUUGCUGUCCUAAGGUGUGUAUACACCAGGUUGUUUUUCAUGCAGGUGGAAUGCGCACGAUUAGCUUUCCUCCUAUAGCCUGUAAGAAAACGGUUCACAUCUGAAGCAGCCAUAAUUCAGGUCUUCCUUUUGAGUCAGAGAUGACUGCCAGCUCCAGUUUCUUUGAAGUAUUCAGGUUGCUAGUGACACGGCAAGCCCUCUGCCCACACCAGGUCCUUUUAGGGACAUCAUUCUGCUAGGAACGCCUGCCAUUCAAUUGCGCUCCAUUGAAAUGCAUGGGGCGGAAGUCCUUUUACGAAACGCCUGUUUCAGUGAGCACUUCCCUGUUGGAUUCUGCCCAGCGUGGUUUGCCUGGUGCCAUAGAACUUGGCAAACGGAAAUGGCCUUCACUGAAAAGACAAUCAAUAUACCCAGUGGCUGUUAUUGCUAUUUUUUCUGGCACAACGCUUCCCCCGCCAAAGAAAAAUAAAUGUACUCUUGUCGCAUUGAGAGAAUUAAGAAUUAUCUGGUCAGGGAGGAUGCCCAAGGAACAGAAUUAAUUGCCAACCGAUGGAUUGGCACAGCGAUGAAUGAAAUAGUGUUCAUAUGGGUCUGAGGUGCUCUUAGUAGUGGCAUGGUGAAUGGAAUAUGCUGGUGAAAGGAUGGAGUCCAUCAGCCAUUCCGUAAGCCGAUCUUGUGGUAUUCCGCUCUGCCUUCCCACGGUGGCCAGCAGCUUUUUAAAAGAGAAAUUUGCAAAGUCAAGGAGCAAAUACGCUUGCAGGGCCCACCCUGAACCUGGGAGUAUGUGAUGAGUUGGCAAAAGUGCCAUCGAAGGAGAAUUGGGCGUUGGUCAAAAGGGCGGGACAUGUGGCAAGCGGGCAUUAAAGAGGACCUUGGGGCGUGUCGCACUUUGUGGAUGACCCCUCGCUUGAAGAGUCAGGCAUUGAGCGCUUCUGAUGGGGCACUUAAGAGAACUCAGGAAACACAUCUAACUAGGCGUGCACACCGAGUCCUAUGCAACAGUGACUGUCCUGGAGAGACAGAGAGAGGUGUCCUUCCAUUAAAAGAUGCCUCUGGAAGAUCAGCAGGGAACCAGGGAUGUCCGUGUUGCCAUGGUGGGAUGCUGCAAUUCUCCUCUGCAUCUCUUGUUAGAUGCAUCUACAGUGGUACCUUGGUUCUCAAACUUAAUCCCGUCUGGAAGUCCAUUCCAAAACCAAAGCGUUCCAAAACCAAGGCGCGCUUGCCCAUAGAAAGUAAUGCAAAAUGGAUUAAUCUGUUCCAGACUUUCAAAAACAACCCCUAAAACAGCAGUUUAACAUGAAUUUUACUAUCUAACAAGACCACUGAUCCAUAAAAUGAAAGCAAUAAUCAAUGUACUGUACUGGUUGGGGGGGGGGGGACCAUAUCCAAGAGUGGUUAAAUUAUGACACUGAUUUUACACCUCCUUAAUCCUGAUGACAUUUCUGUGCAUUGUAAAACAUAUUUAAUUCAUUUGGGCAUUAUUUUUUACUGAAUGUGAGAAGUCCCUGGUUAUAUUUUUCCUUAGGGCACAGUGUUUGUUCUAACUCCUAGUCCAGUGAUCAAUUGCUAGAUGUGUCUGACGUUAGCCUGUUACGACGGGGGCUGUUCUUUUGACGGCAGCCAUGACUAAUUGUACGUGACUUUCCGAUUUUGUAAGUAACUCUCUUUUCAUCCCUGAAUUUCGCCGGACCUUUCAAUGCGAAUCCUUUCCCUUUGCCCCGUGAAUCUGUUGAGUGCCGGCCAAGUUAUUCUAAUUUAAAGAAACAACAUCUACUCACACCUAUUGUUACUAAAACGUGGGCCGUGAGCCUCAGGCAGGGUUGCUCUCGAGUAGACCCUUUAGCGCACGCUGCCCUAAACACGCUUCCUAGGGAGUGAUAUCUGCAGGGCUUAAGUACGACUUACUCCUGAGCAUACCUGUUUAGGCUCGCCCUGUUAACAACGUAUCGGAAGAUACUGCAAACAGUAAUACCCAGACAAGUGAAUGUCUUGCUCUGCGCAGCAAGACAAAAGCAAGCUUGGACCAUCUAUGUCAGUGGCAAUGCGCAUGGAAGUCGUCGGACUGCUUUCAUGGACUUUCCAAGGCAGUAAAAGCAAAUGUCGUUGUGUUCUCUUGCGUGCAAAAUAUAAUUUGACGAUUAAGUUAUGUUCAUUAAAGUCUAUGAGAUGUC